CAGGCAGCACUCAAUGGUGGCAGUGAGCUUUGGGUCUACCCAGGCCUCACAGAGCUUUUGUUCAGAGCCACCUCAUGCUGCCAUAAGGCGCAACAAAACAGAGCUCUCCUUCCCGCUAAGUCAGAUGCUCAUAUGAAAAAAUGGGCUAAAAUUAUGUGGCCAAGAGAAGUGAGGAUGAGCUGGUCCCUGGCAGCAGGCAAUGUCCCACAUGCAUUAACUCCAAGCCCUAGCUGUCUGCUGGAGGAGGAGAAAGAUAAGGAUAGCCCCAGUUUGUGGAUAAGGAAAC